rnacentral:rRNA from 1 species
GAUGAACGCUGGCGGCGUGCCUAAUACAUGCCAGUCGAGCGAACGGACGAGAAGCUUGCUUCUCUGAUGUUAGCGGCGGACGGGUGAGUAACACGUGGAUAACCUACCUAUAAGACUGGGAUAACUUCGGGACACCGGAGCUAAUACCGGAUAAUAUUUUGAACCGCAUGGUUCAAAAGUGAAAGACGGUCUUGCUGUCACUUAUAGAUGGAUCCGCGCUGCAUUAGCUAGUUGGUAAGGUAACGGCUUACCACGGCAACGAUGCAUAGCCGACCUGAUAGGGGGAUCGGCCACACGAGAGCUGAGACACGGUCCAGACUCCUACGGGAGGCAGCAGUAGGGAAUCUGCCGCAAUGGGCGAAAGCCUGACGGAGCAACGGCGCGUGAGUGAUGAAGGUCUUCGGAUCGGAAAGCUCUGUUAUUAGUGAAGAACAGAUGUGUAAGUAACUGUGCACAUCUUGACGGUACCUAAUCAGAAAGCCACGGCUAACUACGUG